rnacentral:rRNA from 1 species
AUUCGCCCUUAGAGUUUGAUCCUGGCUCAGGACGAACGCUGGCGGUAUGCUUAAGACAUGCAAGUCGAGCGGAGUUUUUUGGGAGCUUGCUCCUGGAAAACUUAGCGGCGGACGGGUGAGUAACACGUGAGCAACCUGCCUCUUACAUCGGGAUACCAAUUGGAAACGAUUGUUAAUACCGAAUAUGACCACAGCAUCGCAUGAUGCAGGGGUGAAAGGGUUUACUGGUAAGAGAUGGGCUCGCGCCUGAUUAGCUUGUUGGUGGGGUAACGGCCUACCAAGGCGAUGAUCAGUAGCCGACCUGAGAGGGUGAUCGGCCACAUUGGGACUGAGAACGGCCCAGACUCCUACGGGAGGCAGCAGUCGGGAAUAUUGGGCAAUGGAGGAAACUCUGACCCAGCAAUACCGCGUGAAGGAUGAAGGUUUUCGGAUUGUAAACUUCUGUUAUAAAGGAAGAAUAAAAUGACGGUACUUUAUAAGUAAGCCCCGGCAAACUAUGUGCCAGCAGCCGCGGUGACACAUAGGGGGCAAGCGUUAUCCGGAAUGACUGGGUGUAAAGGGUGUGUAGGUGGCUUUUUAAGUUGGAAGUGAAAGCCCGGGGCUUAACCCCGGAACUGCUUUCAAAACUGGAUGGCUUGAGUGUGGGAGAGGUUAGUGGAACUCCUAGUGUAGCGGUGGAAUGCGUAGAUAUUAGGAAGAACAUCAGAGGCGAAGGCGACCAACUGGAACAUUACUGACACUGAAACACGAAAGUGUGGGGAGCAAACAGGAUUAGAUACCCUGGUAGUCCACACCGUAAACGAUGAGUACUAGAUGUUGGUGGUAUCGACUCCAUCAGUAUCGCAGCUAACGCAUUAAGUACUCCACCUGAGUAGUACGGCCGCAAGGUUGAAACUCAAAGAAAUUGACGGGGACCCGCACAAGCAGAGGAUCAUGCGGUUUAAUUCGACGCAACGCGAAAAACCUUACCAAGACUUGACAUCGUAAUGCAUACCAUAGAAAUAUGAUAGUAACUUCGGUUACAUUAUGACAGGUGGUGCAUGGUUGUCGUCAGCUCGUGUCGUGAGAUGUUCGGUUAAGUCCGGUAACGAGCGCAACCCCUAUUACUAGUUGCCAAUAUUAAGUUAGGAACUCUAGUGAGACUGCCGUGGAUAACACGGAGGAAGGUGGGGAUGACGUCAAAUCAUCAUGCUCCUUAUGUCUUGGGCUACACGCGUGAUACAAUGGCCACUACAAAGAGUUGCAAUACCGUAAGGUGGAGCCAAUCCCAAAAAAGUGGUCUUAGUUCAGAUUGUGGGCUGAAACCCGCCCACAUGAAGCUGAAUUUGCUAGUAAUCCCGAAUCAGCACGUCGGGGUGAAUUCGUUCCCGGGUCUUGCACACACCGCCCGUCA